UACGUAGGGGGCUAGCGUUGUCCGGAAUCAUUGGGCGUAAAGCGCGUGUAGGCGGCCCGAUAAGUCCGCUGUGAAAGUCCAGGGCUCAACCCUGGGAUGCCGGUGGAUACUGUCGGGCUCGAGUCCGGAAGAGGCGAGUGGAAUUCCUGGUGUAGCGGUGAAAUGCGCAGAUAUCUGGAGGAACACCGGUGGCGAGGGCGGCAUCCUGGACCAACACUGACGCUGAGUGAGCGAAAGCCAGGGGAGCAAACGGG
rnacentral:rRNA from 1 species